CCUACGGGGGGCUGCAGUGAGGAAUACUGGUCAAUGGACGAGAGUCUGAACCAGCCAAGUAGCGUGAAGGAUGACUGCCCUAUGGGUUGUAAACUUCUUUUAUAUGGGAAUAAAACGUUCCACGUGUGGGAUUUUGUAUGUACCAUAUGAAUAAGGAUCGGCUAACUCCGUGCCAGCAGCCGCGGUAAUACGGAGGAUCCGAGCGUUAUCCGGAUUUAUUGGGUUUAAAGGGAGCGUAGGUGGAUUGUUAAGUCAGUUGUGAAAGUUUGCGGCUCAACCGUAAAAUUGCAGUUGAAACUGGCAGUCUUGAGUACAGUAGAGGUGGGCGGAAUUCGUGGUGUAGCGGUGAAAUGCUUAGAUAUCACGAAGAACUCCGAUUGCGAAGGCAGUUCACUGGACUGCAACUGACACUGAGGCUCGAAAGUGUGGGUAUCAAACAGGAUUAGAUACCCCAGUAGUC
rnacentral:rRNA from 1 species